rnacentral:tRNA from 1 species
GCGCCGGUGGUGAAAUGGCAUACACGCUAGCAUGAGGUGCUAGUGCCGAAAGGCGUGGAGGUUCGAGUCCUCUCCGGCGCA